UAACAAAAUUUUUAGUGUUUUAUAAGUGGAUCUUUUAUAUAUAUUUUGUUGAACAAGCGAAACCAAACCAAAAACACCAUGGAAAAGAUGAAAAAAAGAAUAUACGAAAAAAAAGCAGAGAAAUCACUUUGCCGACGCACCAGCAAGCAGCCAUUAUGGAAUACCAAAACCUCCCGGUCACAAACAAAAAAUACCAACAGACAUUAUGCGAUUCGAGUAGAUACACACAAGCAGUUAGGCUACUGAGAGUGUGUAGCUCAAGGGGUUGUUGUUGUUGACAGGCAUACUAACACAGCCGAACGCACUCACACUCAACAAAGCAGCCAUGCUGGUUUGCUUAUUAAAGAGCAGCAAUGGGAGAAAUAUUCGUAUUGUUGCCUCAAUGGCCAAAUGUGUAAUGUUUUUGCCGUCGGCAGCCAUCAUGUGAGAUGAGAUAGCAGUAUACAUGCCGCACACACACAUCCACACGCAUAGCAGGCACUGCACCAUUUGCUUUAGUUGAAUGCUGAGCCACAAAUGUGUGUAUGUGUUAGUGUAUGUGUAAGGAGGGGUUUGCUUUUUUAAUGAAUGCCUUUGCAUGGAGGGAGAAUAAUGACUUUGGCCAGAAAUAGGUGCCCGUUUUGGUCGCCGCGAGUAUUGAGCAUAGCCAUCCGGGUUGAGUUGAAGAGUAUAGUUUCCAACGGUUUCUGACCAAAUAACCACAGAAGAAGAAAAAUCCAACACUCUGGGGCCAAAUUUUCCCCGAAUUUCCAAACAAAGUCCCACUCGAAGUACUGUGAAAACGCCAAAGUCAACGUACGCAGCAAACCGCUUCGUAAGGCGGCAAGAUAUGACGAAGUCGAAAAAGAAUUGCUGUCUGUUAUUUUCAUGGGAGCACAACAAAGUGUAUGUCGAAAUGUUUGAUUGAGUGUGUUUUGUUGUGUUGAGUAUGAGUGCCGUGAGUGCCCUUUUUUAGUGCUGCCGCUAAUAUGGGUGUUCAAGAAUGCGCAAGCCAGAGAGUGUAAAAAAAAAGAAAACAACUUCAUGGAAAAAAGGGAUACGGAAAUGAUUGUCUUAUUUUCUUUUGCAACAGUAUCAAAAAAGAAAACUCUCCUGGUUUGAGCAAAAACACUUAGAAAUUUCCUUAGUGUUUUCAAUGGCAAGUGUUAGAAAGAGAGGCAUGAUAUUUAUGCAGGCGCACUACAAACACAGUUUGGUUUCCUUCAUUGCCUGUAUGCCAUGAUGUGAUGGCAUUUAGCCCUAUAUCGACCAAAGGGAUUUUUUUCCAUCUUGGGCUAAGAUAAAUUGGUUGGUAAAUUAGCUACAAUGGACUAUAACUACUACGGACCUCCUCCAUUUAUUCAAAUGACAGACGUUUGCCAAUAUCACAUGGAUUACGGCUAAAGGUGAGACAUCUUAAAAUUUUUUAUGACAAUUUAAGU
rnacentral:sRNA from 1 species